CUCUUUCUUCCUUUACUUGCUAUUCCACCGUCUCCUUCCCCUUGUUCUACUGAUUUUCAAGACCGUAGAAGGUGGAGUUUUGGUUUCAAAACAUAUCAACUCACUGGAUUUGAUUCCAUACUGGGAUUAAUUAAAGACUUUGAAGAGAGUUUAAGGCAGUAAGCUUAGGAAGAGCUUACGGCUAGGAGCUUAAGCAAAAGUUGGUAAUUUUGCUUGUCGAAUGUGUAUAUCACUGGUGAUCUGGGGUGGUUACAUUGUCGUCAUUUGACCCAUGUUUUGUCAUAUUUCAAUGUGUAUAUAAAAAGAAGUGAUGAUGUCUUAAUUUGUUGUAUAAUAGACUACCUUCUGAAUUUGGGUCUGACUUUGUAGUUUAUUGUCUGCAAGAACUCCUUUUUACCUAUCUUGCUUUUGAAAUGAUUAUGGUCCUGAUGGUCUUAUGUA